GAUGAACGCUAGCGGCAGGCUUAAUACAUGCAAGUCGUGGGGCAGCAGGACGGUAGCAAUACCGUUGCUGGCGACCGGCGAACGGGUGCGGAACACGUACACAACCUUCCUUUAAGUGGGGAAUAGCCCAGAGAAAUUUGGAUUAAUACCCCGUAACAUGGUGAAAAGGCAUCUUUUUAUCAUUAUAGCAGCAAUGCGCUUAAUGAUGGGUGUGCGGCUGAUUAGGUAGUUGGCGGGGUAACGGCCCACCAAGCCUUCGAUCAGUAACUGGUGUGAGAGCACGAACAGUCACACGGGCACUGAGACACGGGCCCGACUCCUACGGGAGGCAGCAGUAAGGAAUAUUGGGCAAUGGAGGCAACUCUGACCCAGCCAUGCCGCGUGGAGGAUGAAGGUCCUCUGGAUUGUAAACUUCUUUUAUAUGGGACGAAAAAAGGGUUUUCUAACUCGACUGACGGUACCAUAUGAAUAAGCACCGGCUAACUCCGUGCCAGCAGCCGCCGUAAGAC
rnacentral:rRNA from 1 species